rnacentral:misc_RNA from 1 species
ACUCAUGAGCAUGACUGAUUGUGAUGACUCUGUCAGUAGUCAGUAUACUGGCUCUUGGUAUUGGCUGUCACUGUCAGUCCUGUCACUCUGAAUGUCUGAAAUAAGUGACAAGCUCUGUAGUUUAACGUAUGGCAACAAAGCCUUUGUUGAUGAAGUUACGAACACCUGAAAACGUAACGUCUGGGACGAAGACCUUUAUAGUCCGUCAUGAGCCUUAGGUGCUUGUUCGUGGUUUCUAUAACGGAAUCAAAGCUUCUUUUCUACAGAAUAUUCCCGACUGUCGAAAAACGUUGGAAAAAUGAACACCCAAACUUCGCCAACCUAUGCCUUCCCAAUGACCAAGAAUUAUUGGAUCCAUUAUUAAACGAACUUGGAAUCCUGAAUCCCAACAUAUUUCAGAUCACCAGGGACUCUUGUCAGAAAAAGCUUCAGGCACCUCUUUUUUGGAUUCCAUUUAGUUUUAACCCCCAAAUCUUUUGGCCAGUUAUAGUUGUUGAGUGCCACCAAAAUCGCUUAUUAUGUGGUGUUCCAUAUUUGGAUCAAAAUCUUCAACCAUCUGGAAAUCAACAAUCAAUGUGUGUUGCAAGGUCAUGUGAUGUUGUAAUAGUUUUGGAAUUGCUUUCCAAGCUUGUUCAUCUCAUUCAGCUCCCACCCAGUAAAAUGGCUGACCAACUAAAUAGAACCAUCCAACAAUGGCUUCCUUUUGGGAGGGCCAGCGGUUACCAACAGCUAGAACUGCGAAGCCUUCCUCCGGCCUCACAAAAAACGAUGUGGCUAAGGUCGAGGCCGAAAAUUGAACUGCAAAUAAAAGAAGAAGUUCGAAUGAUAGCGUCAAAUCUAUCAGUUAAAGCAGACGCGUAUGGAACUAUUUACCUGACGGUAGAUCCAGAUGCCGAGUGCAAUAAUAACAUCAAACUAGAAUUGGGCUUUAGCAAGCUGCCUGGAAUACCAUCAGCGCUCUUUCAUCCAAGUGCUCUUGCCCAGUGGGAAAAAGCUGUUUGUCACAUAAACAUCCAGCAACUUCAAGAGAAAACCUUUCCUCUUUGCCAUUAUAGCUUUCCGUUAGAAAUGCCACCUAUUCAACCUGUGCUGAAAAUCCGAAUAGGGGAGCUAGGUAAAGUUUCUAUUUUCAUUCAGCUACACCUUGGUGCCACCACGAGAAAUACGCUGAAUCGGUUGGAGGUCCGUUUACCUAUGCCAACCGGUAAUCGUAUUGCUCGAAUCCUAACGGCUACCAGCCUUGGCUUGGUAUCAUUGAUUAAAGAUGGUACUCAGCUUUUAUGGAAUCUUGGUGCUUUCGCCUCAUCUUCGUCAAAUGCAAAGUUGAAGGACGACUUGACCUUAAAUGUCGACGUCGUUAUGGAGAAACUUGAAGCGUCGCUUGUGAAUACCCAUGCUCUUUAGUCUCCGUCUCAGGAGCACAUCUAUCUUUGCUACAACCAACGGAAUUCAAAUUAGUAUCAACAUCAGAGCUGAAGAGCUCCACCUACCGCGUAUGGAAUCAAGACGCAGAAGAAAUCGUUUAAAAUUUUUAAUCAGUUCAUCUGGGCCCCCUUGUCCUCCUCAUGCAAGGUAAUUUUUUGUAUUUCUUUACGGUUGGUCGAUAAUAAUAAUAGUAAUAGCAUUA